UCUAAAUCUUUGCUGCUAGGGUGAAAGCAAGCAGAGGAGGAUGGAAGCGUGGACGUGGAUGGGGUGCCCUGGGACUGGAUGCAGUAAAGGGUUACUGUUCUGGGAUCUGAACAUCGGAGUCCUGGGGGCCUGCCUUGGAUUCCUGGAAAGUCCUGUGUCACCAGCACCGUCCUGUCUGCCACACAAAUCAGUGCUCAGCUUUGCUGGUAGAGUUGCACCAUCUUGGAAGCAACAGCUCUUAGGUUUCUUGGAGGAGGCUGAGUGGACCCAAUUGCAUGUGGCCUCCUAAGACAGGCGACCCUCCCCUUGGAGCCUCUGUUUUGCAUGUCCCUGUCUCACACAGCCCCCAUCAAGCCCUAUAAAUAUCUGGCACCUGGUGCCCUACCCAGGCACUGAACUUACUCUGCCAGCAUGUUUCCAGUGGCUCUGGUGUGGCUGCUUUGGAGCCUGGCCUUCUGGACAGCAGUGAGUGGGGACAUCACCCUGGCCCAGACCCCAGCCUCCUUGUCUGCAUCUCCAGGACAGACCGUCUCCAUCUCCUGUCAAGCCAGUGCUGAUGUGCAUGGAGAGAUGUCUUGGGUCCGGGUUAAACUUGGCCAAAAACUUGAGCCCCUCAUAUCUCACGUCACCACUUUGGCCCCCGGUGUCCCAGCCAGGUUCAGCAGCAGAGGAAGUGGAACCAGCUAUGUCUUCAGCAUCAGCCCCGUGGAGCCCGGGGACUCUGGGGAGUAUUACUGCAUGCAUGACUACUAUUGGCCGGUCCACAGUGGUGCAGGCUAUGCACAAAACUGCUGGGUGUCCCAGAGCUGAAUCGCUAGGUGCGAGGCUAUACCUGGCUGACCCGGAUCCUCUUCCAGAGAUAGGCUCUACAUUUAGGAACUCUUCUUUUUUAAAAAAAAAAUAAAAGUAGAUGUAGCAGUCUCUGUCUUCCUCUGGGUCUUCCCCACUUCAUCAUACUUCUGUUGCAUUCCAAUGGCUGUGUCUGCCAGGCUCUCCAGAGCGGUGGAUGGCAGCUUUCUCUGCAAACUGGGAAGAUCACAGAGCCCGAGCAUCUCCCAGGUCAGCCUCAGAGGGUGAGGGCAGGAAGAGCGGCCUUCACAACCCAGCUCUCUUGCUUCAGCUGCAGUAAGCAGAGGCUCCCCCUGUGUUUCUGGGGGGCAGGAACACUGGCCGGCCAUUCUCACAUUCAGUUCCUCUGCAGAAGCGUCUUUUGCUACCUGUCGUUGCUCUGGUUCAGGCCAGCAUGCACGCAGUCUCCAAAACAACCUGUGCUCCUUUAACUGACUGAACAUGGGCUGUAACUCCUGGCAGUCCUGCCAGGCUACCAGUUGCCCAACAUCACCCUCUUGUCCUUCUGUCCAGAAGCAGAGCACUCUGUGGCCACUAGAGGAUGAGAUUUCUGGUCCCACUUCUCUGCCUCCUGCUGAUGGGCAUUGGGCUAAGCACAUUUUCUCUCCCAUUCUUGAGCUGGAAAUUCAGCCCUUGGCACAGAGAUAAGGUGCUUUAAAUAUGCUUUGGAAAUGGCAGAGUGACAUGAAAAGUUGUUUUACUUUAGCUCUUGUUAGGAAUCUGAGGACAAAGUCCAAGGCCCACAAUGAGGCAGAGGUGCAAGCCGCUUUGAGCCUGUCCCCAGCCUUCACGAGGACCGAGGGGUGCAGUUUUCCUUCUAAUCCUCUGAGCCAAGAAAUCCACUGUGCUCUUGGAUGCAGUGUCCUUGAGGGCUACAGAGGACAAGUUGCCUGACUCAGCCUUCUUAAGCGGACUUUGUCCCCAUCACCUGUGUAAGCAACAUGGCGAUAAGAACUGCCACGUCCUGGUACAAACAAGAAUGCAGCGAGUCCCCAGGCUGCUCAUCUCAGGGGCUUCUGCACCAAAAGUCCUCUUUGGGAGCAUCUUCUCGGCUCUGGGAAAGUAGCUCUGGCUCUGGCUUCUGCCUUGUCAGCUGUGGCAUGGAAGCUGAGGACAUUGUAGUGACUUCCUGCUGUAGCCCUGCAGCCAGCCUUGAGCAGUGACAGCUCCCCAACCUAAAAUAUCCUUUCCCAGAUGAAGAGCUUCCCCUGGGAGGUGUAAUCAGUGUGUAAGUGUCCACGUUCUCAGUGCCUGGGCUGGGGAGAUAGCUUGGCGGUCUAAGUGCCUGCCUGACAAGCACAAGGACCUGAGUUCGA